CCGUAAUUUAAGGCGUGUGGUGGAUGCCUAGACACCAAAAAGCGAAGAAGGACGUAGCAAUCUGCGAUAAGCCUCGGGGAGCUGAUAAGCAAGCUUUGAUCCGGGGAUUUCCGAAUGGGGAAACCCAGCAUUGUAAAACAAUGUUCUCGUGUCUCACUAAUGUUCGGCACAAGGAUAUGAAUUUUUAAUUUUAAAUUUUUAAACAAUUUUUAAUGUUAUAAUUUUUAAACUAUGCUUAAAAAGUAAUUGGUUUAGAAAUUAAAAUUAAGAAUUAAAAAUUCUCUGUGGCGAGCGGUAGCGAGACACGAGGCAUACCCGCUGAAGUGAAACAUCUCAGUAGGCGGUGGAAAAUAAAUCAAUAGAGAUUCUCCUAGUAGUGGCGAACGAACGGGGAACAGCCCAAACUCUUUUCAGUGUUUGUUGGGGCGGCGCGAUGUUUAAUUAUAUCUCGUCAAACCGAUGAUAAAGGCGCAGGCCGUUGCUGAUUUGAGGGUUGUAAGGCAAUUGCGUUUUUGUUUCUUGCGAAAUAAAGGAUUAGUUACAAAGAUUGUUGUUAGCCAAAUGCCACUGGAAAGCGGCAACCAAAGAAGGUGAUAGUCCUGUCGGUGAAAACAAUAAUCCUAAUCAGCGAUUGUUCUUGAGUAAAGCGAGACACGUGAAAUCUUGCUUGAAGCCGGGUCGACUAUGAUCCAAGGCUAAAUAUUUUUGGCGAUCGAUAGUGAACUAGUACCAUGAGGGAAAGGUUAAAAGCACCCCGGUGAGGGGGAUGAAAUAGUAUCUGAAACCACAUGCUGACAUAGAAUGGGAGCAUUUCGCUUCACUUUGCGUUCUGAACGAUUUUUAAUUUUAAAUUUUAAAAUAAAUCUAAAUUUUAAAUUUUUAAACAUUGGAAUUUAAAAAUUAUUUAAAAAUUAAAAAUUGGAAAUUAAAAAUUGGAACACGGAGCGAAGCGAAGUGUGACCGUGUGCCUAUUGAAGAAUGAGCCAACGAGUUUGUGUAUGUUACUUGUUUAACCCCGCAUUGCGGGAGAAGGCAAAGGGAAACCAAGUCUUAACUGGGCGUAUACCUUUUAAUAUUAUUGGCUUGACCUUUAAGCUAAUAAUAUUAAAAUGGUAAGGUAGCAUGUACAAGACCCGAAACCAGGCGAGCUAGCCAUGGACAGGAUGAACCCUGAGUAAAAUCAGGAGGAGGUCCGUACCCACCAGCCGUGCAACACUGGGGGAUGAGCCGUGGUUAGGGGUGAAAUUCCAAUCGAGCUUGGUAAUAGCUGGUUCUCCUCGAAAUAGCUUAUGGGCUAGCGUCUUUUGUUCGCACCCAGGGGUAGAGCACUGGAAGGAAGUGGAGUGGUUCGCCAUAUCCCUUUCUAUCAAACUCCGAAUACUGGGUGUUUAAAAAGGCAGUCAGACUACGGGGGCUAAGCUUCGUUGGUCUAAAGGGGAACAGCCCAAAUCUUAAGUUAAGGUCCCCAAAUCUACGUUAAGUGUGAAAGGCAGUGGAUUUUUUUAUACAACUAGGAGGUUGGCUUAGAAGCAGCCAUCCUUUAAAGAAAGCGUAAUAGCUCACUAGUCAAGAAUUUCUGCGCCGAAAAUUUACCGGGGCUAAAACGUAGUACCGAAACUAAGGGUCCCGAUUUUAUGUCGGGGCGGUAGAGGAGUGUUCUAUAUCCGUUGAAGUCGUUUCCGUGAGGAACGGGGGAGGAUAUAGAAGUAAGAAUGUUGGCAUGAGUAGCAAAAAGGCCGGUUGGAAACCGGCCCACCGAAAAUCCAAGGUUUCCUGGGCAACGUUAAUCGGCCCAGGGUUAGGCGAUCCUAACUUUGCGUCCGAAAGGGCGCAAGGGAUGGAAGAGCAGGUUAAUAUUCCUGCCCUGUACAGAUAUUAUCCUCGCAUUGACGCAUUUUGAAGCUGGGAGCAUAUUUUGGCUAUAUAUGUUUAUGCCGACGAAAGUCGGGAUGAAGAAGCAAAGCCUCCGGGUAGAGCGAAUUUCCAGUAACAGGGUGCCGGGAAAAGAUGCGUUGUUAAGUAUAUGUGCAACCGUACCGUAAACCGACUCAGGUGGGUGAGGCGAGAAGCCUAAGGUGAACGAGAUAACCCUUAUUCAGGAACUCGGCAAAAUAACGGGCGUAACUUCGGAAUAUGCCCUUCCCGAUUUCUUAUAUUUUUUAAAUAUGGGACAUCGGGACGCAGUUAAAGAUCUCUAGCGACUGUUUACCAAAAACACAGGUCCCUGCUAAAGUCGUAAGACUAUGUAUAGGGGCUGAUGCCUGGCCAGUGUCAGAACGUUAAGCAGAGAGGUGCAAGCCUUGAAGCCAAGCGCUGAUGAACGCCGGCGAUAACUAUAAUCGUCCUAAGGUAGCGAAAUUCCUUGACGGG
rnacentral:rRNA from 1 species